CCGCUAGCCAAUAUCUUAUUUUGAAUUCUGGAACAGAACCCUCCGAAUUGUACUAAGACUAGCUUUGCUCUACAAAAUUUUGUAAUACUUUUUAGAUUAAAAUGAGUGAAGAUAAUAUUUCUCUAAAUUUUGAGCAUUGAUUAGAUGCACAGCAAAUUGAUGCACAACCAAACACUGCUGAAGCUUUAAAUCCGGCUGCUGCGACAGAAAAUAAGUACAUAUUGGCCAGAUAUGCAAAUGCAAGAAUAAUAGAGCACAAUGUUUCACAGAGUGCAUUAUGUUGUAACUUUCAAUUUAGAAAUGAAAAAAAUGUUGAAGGUUUGCAAUGUUAAA